UAGCAUGUAUGUUAGUGACUUGGUUAGA
rnacentral:sRNA from 1 species